GGCCACAUCACUUUGAAACACCGGUUCUAGUAGGAUCAUCGAAGUUAAGCGACGCCGUACCAGGUCAGUACCCAGAUGGGUGACCGCGUGGGAAUACCAGGUGCUGUAAG